UCUAAAGGAAAGCCAUGUAAGCUCCAACAGUUCUGUUCUACGACUUCACCAUUAGAAUAUGAAGGAAAUAGGUGUUUUUAAAGUACAAACUGGUAGAACAUCUCCCAUCUUUAGGAAUUAAAGUGAAUAAUCUGUUUUAACAUCAAGAUAAGUUAGAAAGGACAACCUAAACCCUAAAAAUAAGGUUUCUAUCUAACAAGAUAAAUAAUAUGAAAGGAAGAUGGUUAACUCAUUGUGAUAUCCAUUGUUAUGCAGCAAGGUACAAGUAUUCAAAAGAAGAUCUUCCCAAUAGAAGUACAUGAUACUCAAUUGUUGUUGGUGAGCUCCAGGUUGAUUCAGGGCUUUGCCGAUCCUUUACUAUGCGUAUUUUUAGCUUUGUAGACAUUGUAAAGCUAUCAUAUGUAUUCAUAUAUUUCACUUGUCACGUGUAUUGGUUUAACUAGUCAACAUGUGUUGUAUAUAAAGUUUUUCAUCGGUAAUCUUCAUAAUAUUUUACUUUCUCAUCAUAGGUUACCUGUAAAGCAUGUAUUCAUAGGGUACUUGUCCGCCUCACCUAGGGUUGGGGUGUGACACUGGUCAUAUGAAU